rnacentral:rRNA from 1 species
CUACGGGUGGCUGCAGUGGGGAAUAUUGGACAAUGGGCGAAAGCCUGAUCCAGCCAUGCCGCGUGUGUGAAGAAGGCCUUCGGGUUGUAAAGCACUUUCAGUGGGGAAGAAAGCCUUGGGGCUAAUACCCUCGAGGAAGGACAUCACCCACAGAAGAAGCACCGGCUAACUCCGUGCCAGCAGCCGCGGUAAUACGGAGGGUGCGAGCGUUAAUCGGAAUUACUGGGCGUAAAGCGCGCGUAGGCGGUCUGAUAAGCCGGUUGUGAAAGCCCCGGGCUCAACCUGGGAACGGCAUCCGGAACUGUCAGACUAGAGUGCAGGAGAGGAAGGUAGAAUUCCCGGUGUAGCGGUGAAAUGCGUAGAGAUCGGGAGGAAUACCAGUGGCGAAGGCGGCCUUCUGGACUGACACUGACGCUGAGGUGCGAAAGCGUGGGUAGCAAACAGGAUUAGAUACCCGAGUAGUC